UACACUAUUAUAAUUUUUGUUUGUAGAUUUUGGUGUAUUUGCUAUUUUCUGAAGACUGGGAGGUGUCUCUUUAGCUACAAUUUUAAGCAAAAGGGCAAUUAUAUUAUAGUAUUUACCCCUUUAUCUUUUUACUGUUGUUUUUAAGCAUUGGGUGUAUAUAGUGUGUUUAUUCUGUACAGUGACAGUGUAUUAUUUUGACUAUAGAAAACUGCAUUGUAA